GUUAGCUCAGUUGGUAAAGCGCUCCGCUAAAAACGGAGAGGUCCCUGGUUCGAUACCGGGAC
rnacentral:tRNA from 1 species